GACGUAGGGCGCGAGCGUUGUCCGGAUUUAUUGGGCGUAAAGGGCUCGUAGGCGGUCUGUUGCGUCAGGAGUGAAAACUCGGGGCUUAACCCCGAGCCUGCUUCUGAUACGGGCAGACUAGAGGUAUGCAGGGGAGAACGGAAUUCCUGGUGUAGCGGCGAAAUGCGCAGAUAUCAGGAGGAACACCGGUGGCGAAGGCGGUUCUCUGGGCAUUACCUGACGCUGAGGAGCGAAAGUGUGGGGAGCGAACAGG
rnacentral:rRNA from 1 species